rnacentral:rRNA from 1 species
AGCGAACGUUAGCGGCGGGCUUAACACAUGCAAGUCGCACGAGAACGAGGGGGCAACCCCUCUAGUAAAGUGGCGCACGGGUGCGUAACACGCAGGUGAACUACCCUCCGAUGGGGGACAACCGGCCGAAAGGCUGGCUAAUACCGCGUACGUCAGCGGGACAUUCGAGUCCUGUUGGGAAAGCGGCCCUCUUCACGAAAGGUCGCGUCGGAGGUUGUGCCUGCGGCCCAUCAGCUAGUUGGGAGGUAAUGGCUCACCAAGGCUAAGACGGGUAGCUGGUCUGAGAGGAUGAUCAGCCACACUGGAACUGAGACACGGUCCAGACUCCUACGGGAGGCAGCAGUGGGGAAUAUUGGACAAUGGGCGCAAGCCUG